rnacentral:rRNA from 1 species
UACAGAGGUCUCAAGCGUUGUUCGGAUUCAUUGGGCGUAAAGGGUGCGUAGGCGGCGCGGUAAGUCGGGUGUGAAAUCUCGGAGCUUAACUCCGAAACUGCAUUCGAUACUGCCGUGCUUGAGGACUGGAGAGGAGACUGGAAUUCCUGGUGUAGCGGUGAAAUGCGCAGAUAUCAGGAGGAACACCGGUGGCGAAGGCGGGUCUCUGGGCCGAAUACUGACGCUGGAGGAGCGAAAAGCGUGGGGAGCGAACAGG